UACGAAGGGGGCUAGCGUUGCUCGGAAUCACUGGGCGUAAAGCGCACGUAGGCGGAUUGCUAAGUCAGGGGUGAAAUCCUGGAGCUCAACUCCAGAACUGCCUUCGAUACUGGCGAUCUCGAGUUCGGGAGAGGUGAGUGGAACUGCGAGUGUAGAGGUGAAAUUCGUAGAUAUUCGCAAGAACACCAGUGGCGAAGGCGGCUCACUGGCCCGAUACUGACGCUGAGGUGCGAAAGCGUGGGGAGCAAACAGG
rnacentral:rRNA from 1 species